rnacentral:tRNA from 1 species
UCGUAACACAGUAGGGGUAUCGGAAGUUGCCCCUAGACAACCCAUGAUGGCCGAGACUUAGGCAUUAA